UCCCCGUUACCGAGGCUGUCUCACAAGACAAAUCUAACUUGCGACGAGGGUUGCGCUCGUUGAGGGACUUAACCCUACAUCUCACGACACGAGCUGACGACGGCCAUGCAUCACCUGUCUCUCGGUCCCUUGCGGGUACCCCCACAUUUCUGUGGGGUUCCGAGGAUGUCAAGCCCUGGUAAGGUUCUUCGCGUACCAUCGAAUUAAACCACACGCUCCACCGCUUGUGCGGGUCCCCGUCAAUUCCUUUGAGUUUUAAGCUUGCGCUCGUACUCCCCAGGCGGGAUGCUUAACGCGUUAGCUUCGCUACCGAGGGGGUCGAUACCCCCAGCAGCUAGCAUCCAUCGUUUACGGCGUGGACUAC
rnacentral:misc_RNA from 1 species